CGAACGCUUUUUUUUCUUUCCCGGAGCUUGCUCCACCGAAAGAAAAAGAGUGGCGAACGGGUGAGUAACACGUGGGUAACCUGCCCAUCAGAAGGGGAUAACACUUGGAAACAGGUGCUAAUACCGUAUAACACUAUUUUCCGCAUGGAAGAAAGUUGAAAGGCGCUUUUGCGUCACUGAUGGAUGGACCCGCGGUGCAUUAGCUAGUUGGUGAGGUAACGGCUCACCAAGGCAACGAUGCAUAGCCGACCUGAGAGGGUGAUCGGCCACACUGGGACUGAGACACGGCCCAGACUCCUACGGGAGGCAGCAGUAGGGAAUCUUCGGCAAUGGACGAAAGGCUGACCGAUCAACGCCGCGUGAGUGAAGAAGGUUUUCGGAUCGUAAAACUCUGUUGUUAGAGAAGAACAAGGAUGAUAGUAAAAUG
rnacentral:rRNA from 1 species